CCUCCCAAACCCUCAGUUUGUUUCUCAGAGUCCACAGUCUCUUACUGUUUGUGGGAGUAAAGUAGUAUUUUAUUUCACAUUUGCUGUUUUCCCCGUCCAUGUAUAUUUUCCUUCAAAACCUGAAGGAAAGAGCUGUGACAGGAGGAUUUGGGGAAUUCUGGAUCUCUAGGUAUAAAAUUACCUGAAAAUCUUUCCAAAUCCCAUCAUACAGUUUAAUACCUUGGUUUUAUCCCUGUUUAACAUUAGCCUAGCCUCAUACCUAUAAAUGUAGAAAAAUUACAAUCCAUGACACUGUAUUUAACCAAUCAUAUAUGUUUAGAUAUUUAGGUUGUUAGGAUUUAUACAAAAUCAGGAAGCAAAUGAAUUACUUUCAGCAACACCACUGCAAUUUUGAGAGUGUCUUUCUUUUAGUUCUGAGAUACCGUAUCCAUCAAGAAAGGGUAUGGUAACAGAUUUACUUAUAUACCAGGGCCAAAGUGAAGACUAUAAUAAAUAUGGUAUACCUGGAUCUUUGCUGCAGAGUUUCCCAAAUUGGAGGUACACUGUGCUUGCCAGACAACACAGCAGAGCCCUUACAACUUCUACGUGGAAUGUAAAACCUUUAUCGCAUCUUAGAACACUUACUGAAGUGUUUAGACCCUACCCACUCUGUAUUUUCCAAUAUUAAAGGAACACAUCUCAGAAUAUUUGCGGAAUAUGUAGAAUAUAUAUUCUACAGCGGAAAUGUAGAAUAUAAAAAUCAUUCAGAAACACGCAGCAGGAAGAUAACCUGUUUGUUGCUUGGUGUACUUCCUCCCAGUCUGUCUCUUAAUGAGAUUUUCUCACAACUUCUUGGCUCAAAUCUAAAGAUUAAUUCAAGUUGGGCAGAUGUAAAGUGAAGUGAAAAGGCAGCUAUUUUUUACCUUUACUGUUUAAGACACAGGUGGCAGGGUAAGGGAAAGAGAGGGGCAGGGUAGGUGCCAAAGAUGUUUAAGUCAGUAAGGCUAGAAUUCCGGAAAUGCAAGCUGUCUGCGGUUGGAGCUUCUACCACCCUGGCUAGUGAAACUGGCUAGAGCAGAGCAAUCUUUGGGCUGGCACAUUCGCUGGGCUACCCGCUUUGUCCAUCAUACUUAUCCAGCCAAUGACUAAUGCCAGAAGGAGGAGCUGACUGAGCUUGAAACUCAGGAGCGGAGUGCAGAGGCAGAAGAGCUUUUACGCAGUUUUCUGCGACUAGCUUCUGGCGCGCUGCUUUCCUUUAUAUGUGAAUCGAGGCGGAAACAGGCGACCUCCUUUCCUGCUCCCAACCGGACCAAGGAGGACUCCUCCUCCCCUAUCCCAUGCCCUUCUUCUCCUCCUGACUGACUAAGUAAAAGUAAGGACUGCUGAAGAGGUAAUGGAAGAAACUCCAUCUAAGUGGACAAAGUGACUGUACGACAUAAUGACAAGAUGAAGAAACUCACCCCAAAAGGAGAAAAAAA